rnacentral:rRNA from 1 species
GACGAACGCUGGCGGCGUGCUUAACACAUGCAAGUCGAACGGAAAGGCCCUGCUUUUGUGGGGUGCUCGAGUGGCGAACGGGUGAGUAACACGUGAGUAACCUGCCCUUGACUUUGGGAUAACUUCAGGAAACUGGGGCUAAUACCGGAUAGGAGCUCCUGCUGCAUGGUGGGGGUUGGAAAGUUUCGGCGGUUGGGGAUGGACUCGCGGCUUAUCAGCUUGUUGGUGGGGUAGUGGCUUACCAAGGCUUUGACGGGUAGCCGGCCUGAGAGGGUGACCGGCCACAUUGGGACUGAGAUACGGCCCAGACUCCUACGGGAGGCAGCAGUGGGGAAUAUUGCACAAUGGGCGGAAGCCUGAUGCAGCAACGCCGCGUGCGGGAUGACGGCCUUCGGGUUGUAAACCGCUUUCGCCUGUGACGAAGCGUGAGUGACGGUAAUGGGUAAAGAAGCACCGGCUAACUACGUGCCAGCAGCCGCGGUGAUACGUAGGGUGCGAGCGUUGUCCGGAUUUAUUGGGCGUAAAGGGCUCGUAGGUGGUUGAUCGCGUCGGAAGUGUAAUCUUGGGGCUUAACCCUGAGCGUGCUUUCGAAUACGGGUUUGACUUGAGGACCUUAGGGGAGAAUGGAAUUCCUGGUGGAGCGGUGGAAUGCGCAGAUAUCAGGAGGAACACCAGUGGCGAAGGCGGUUCUCUGGGCCUUUCCUGACGCUGAGGAGCGAAAGCGUGGGGAGCGAACAGGCUUAGAUACCCUGGUAGUCCACGCUGUAAACGGUGGGUACUAGGUGUGGGGUCCAUUCCACGGGUUCCGUGCCGUAGCUAACGCUUUAAGUACCCCGCCUGGGGAGUACGGCCGCAAGGCUAAAACUCAAAGGAAUUGACGGGGCCCCGCACAAGCGGCGGAGCAUGCGGAUUAAUUCGAUGCAACGCGUAGAACCUUACCUGGGUUUGACAUGGAUCGGGAGUGCUCAGAGAUGGGUGUGCCUCUUUUGGGGUCGGUUCACAGGUGGUGCAUGGCUGUCGUCAGCUCGUGUCGUGAGAUGUUGGGUUAAGUCCCGCAACGAGCGCAACCCUUGUUCACUGUUGCCAGCACGUUAUGGUGGGGACUCAGUGGAGACCGCCGGGGUCAACUCGGAGGAAGGUGGGGAUGACGUCAAGUCAUCAUGCCCCUUAUGUCCAGGGCUUCACGCAUGCUACAAUGGCUGGUACAGAGAGUGGCGAGCCUGUGAGGGUGAGCGAAUCUCGGAAAGCCGGUCUCAGUUCGGAUUGGGGUCUGCAACUCGACCUCAUGAAGUCGGAGUCGCUAGUAAUCGCAGAUCAGCAACGCUGCGGUGAAUACAAUCCCGGGGCU